GAAGAUAGUGAAGGACAGGGAAGCCUGGUGUGCUGUGGUCCAUGGGGUCACAGAGAGUCAGACACCACUGAAUGACUAAACAACAACAAAAUCCUCCUCUCCAUCUUCUAGUUUUUAUUCUAAACUUUUGUCUUAGGACAAAGUAGGUUUUACUGCAUUAAAGACCCAGAAUUCUCAUUGGCUUCACCCAACCCAAGUUCCUUUUUCAUAUACAUGCUAUGUCUUCUGUGUGUUGGCAGAGGGCAUGCCGCGUCUGUCCAUCUCUAGAGAUCCAGGGCGGAGGCUCCAUCUUGCUGUGCUUCCCAGGUCUUCACGGCUGUGGGAAGGGAAUGUGGAAAAUGAUGUACUGUUUCCUAAGCUUCUACAGAAGUAACACUAGGGCAUUUCUCUGAAGCUGGACUGCUUUAUUAAGUUCUGAGUCUUCCCUUUCCAGAUAUGGUUUUCCUUAUAAUUUUAUAGUCACACUUUUCUUGAUUCUGCUUUUGGAGAAAGCAUUGCAAAAAUAAUAAGCUAAUGGUGAUUUUUAUCACUAUCAAAUCAGACCUCCUUCUUAGUCUCACAAGAGAUGUUGGCCCCAGUGCAAGGAGAAUGUGUUAAAAUAUAUAUUUUAUAAGUUUCUCCCUUUUCAUGUUUUUCACUAUUUUCAACAUAUUGUUUCCCCAAAUUCCUGCUUUUCCAAAAUCCUCAAGAAAAAUGUCUGAAAGAGUCAUACUCCUUUAUCAUCACCUGCUACAAAAACUUGAGUACAAUUGACAUCUGGUCAUCUCCCAUGCUCAACCCAAAUGUCUGAUGUGUGGUAGUCAAGGCAAGUGAGAUGCUUCCAGGGGCAUGACCCUCUCCUUCAUCAUGUCCGUAGUCAGAAUGUCUGUGGAAUUGAUCUCUGCAGCCGAAGAAAUAGAUGUCCGUAAAGUAGGUGGGCCAUUCAUGGAGCAAACACUUAUUGCGUGACUAUUCUAUGCUGGACAUUGGGCCAGUUCUUCUCAGUCAGCCACAGUGAUUCAGGUGCACUCAGAUCUUGGCAAGGGAAGAAAGCAAGUAUGGGGUUCCCCAGAGAGCAAGCUGAUGCAGUGUGACCCUGUGACCUUUCCUCUCGUUUCCUAUUUCAGACUUCUCUCCUAGUGGGACCUGAAUGUUCCACCAUGCUCACUGUUGUUAUCCUGUCCUCUGUUACUGCCUUUCCUCCACCAAGGCUGAGGUGCCAGUUCAAAUUCUACCCAUCCUUGGAAACCAGCCGAAAACUUACAUCUUUCCUCAGCUCUGAAGGCUUUCAAUAUCACCCCUUCUCCUUAUCUUACCUACGAAAGCCCAUUGAACAUGCCUCUCUGCUACCUGUUAGGGAAACCACCUACAUAUGCUUAAUGACUUAACCAUUUUGGGGAGACAGUCUAUUCUCUUUACAUCAAGUUUCUUUAAGAAAAUGGUCUUGUUUCCUAUCAAGUUAAUGGAUUCAAAGUAGCUAACCCAUUGGAGGUAUCUGUGGUUCGGUCCUACAUAUCUUUCAGUAAGAAAUGCAUGAUAAGUAAAUAUUGAAUAGGAGUAAACUUGCUCUUGCUCUCUGUCUCUUUUUUUCCCCCCAGGAAGAUGGAAAGAGAAGUUGUGACUACCUUUAUCAUUAUGGCUUUGCCUCCUAGCCUUCUAGCCUUGGGCACAUGAGAUUUUUUUGUUUGUUUGUUUUGGUGGCUUAAAACAACAGGAAUUUAUUCUCUACACUUCCUGAGGUCAGAAGUCCCAAAUCAAGAUGUCAGCGAAGUUGGUUCCUUUUGGAUGCUCCAAGGGAAAAUCUGUGCCGUGCCUCUCUCCUAGCUACUGCUGGCAAGCCCGGUGUUGCUUGGGUUAUGGGUGCAUCUCUUCAUCUUCACCUUCGUCUUCACAUGAUUGAAGACAGAGUGGUCUCAGUAUAAGUUGAGAUAAUCUGCUGUGAAGAACAACACACAAAGGUGCCAGUAGCUACAGAAGGACAUGUGGCACCUCGGAGCUCCUCACAUCAGCAUUCAUCACUAAGAUGCUGAGAGAAGAAGAUGGAUGGAAAAGAUGUAUUCAGACAAAAUUAACUAUAAAAUUUACUUAUAAUUUAAUUUCUUCACUAAGAAAUGUCUGUUGUUUUCACAAGGGAAAAUAUCUUUAGUGGAAUCAAAAGGCUGCAGAAACAAGGGGUUGAAGUGAUGUCCAUGGUCUGGAAUAAUCAGCCCAUUUUUAGUUCCUGGUUCUGAAUGCCCCCAACCCCCUUCUUAACCUCCCAUGCGGGAGGAUUUGCUGGUUCCCUGAUCCCAUAACUUAACUUUCUUCCUCUCUUUUUCUUUUGGAUUAUGGAUGUCUACUUGAGUUAGGCUGUAAUAACAUAACUUAUCACUGUCGACCAUUCAGUGCUAUGUUUUGAGCCUUUUGACUAAAUAGAAUAAAUUAGUGUCUUAUUUUAAUAAUGGUGUGAGUUGAGAAGGGUAAGCUUAUGUAAAAAGUAAGAGAUAAGCUGCACAGUUAGGGAAAAGACUGAAUAAAAAUGACACUUGUCAAAAGAAGUUGCUGAAUUUUCUGCCACUCUUGCCCUGGACCAAGUUUCCCCCAUACCCGGAUCUACCUGCAGGCAGGUUUCAAUAUCCUCAACAGGAAAACCUAUCAUAUUUUCAGUCCUCCACCUUUCUGUAGUUCUUAGGGGUUCUUAGGGACAAAAUGGCUGCUCCUCAUUCAUUACUUGAAGUGUUGCAAGCUCUUCUUCCUGGAAGAGCUUACCUCCUGCUCAGCCCUUUCUUUAAAUUUCCUGGCAAAGUUAUUUUAAGCACCCCUCCCUCUGUUUAUUCUCUCCUAGGGAAACUUCAGUGACUCUGCAAGGAAGCCCGAGGGCUUUACCUUCUAUUCCAAAGGCCACCACUUCGCUCAUCUUCCCACUCAGCCCCCUGUGCUCCCAGUCAGAUUUUUUCCAGCCACACCUCAUCUCAUGGCCUUCCAGUCACUCUUUCCCUAUUCCCACACUUCCAGAAACCUCCAGUUUCUUUCCGAGGCCUUUCCCAAAUGCUUGGGAGAAGAAUGGGUCUCUCUCCUGGAAAGCCAUCCUCACAGUGGCUCAUUUUGCCACUCUUUAAUCUUUACCUAAUGAGAAUGAUAAUAAUAAUAGUAACAAUAAUAGCAAUAGCUAACAUGCCUAACGCUUUUUAGGUGCUUGUCACAGUCCAAAGCAUUUUACAUAAACCAACUGAUUUAAUUCUGGCCAAAAUCCUUUGCAGGCUUCCCUGGUGGCUCAGAUGGUAAAGAAUCUGCCUGCAAUGUGGGAGACCUGAGUUCGAUCCCUGGGUUGGGAAGAUCCCCUGGAGGAGAGCAUGGCAACCCACUCCAGUA